UACAGAGGGUGCAAGCGUUGUUCGGAAUCAUUGGGCGUAAAGAGCGCGUAGGCGGCUUGUUAAGUGUGAAGUGAAAUCUCCAGGGCUCAACCCGGAAACUGCUUUACAUACUGGCAAGCUGGAGUGAUGCAGAGGUUUGUGGAAUUCCUGGUGUAACGGUGAAAUGUGUUGAUAUCAGGAGGAACACCCAUGGCGAAGGCAGCAAACUGGGCAUCAACUGACGCUGAGGCGCGAAAGCGUGGGUAGCAAACAGG
rnacentral:rRNA from 1 species